AUCAGAAAAGUUUAAAUUUCUGAAAACUUGAGGAUGUCCUUUCUGUGUUUUCACAUUAGUGCCUAGAUAGAAAGUGAGAAUAAAUACCUACUCUGGUACAGCUGUUUGCGCUUGUACCUAUUAUAAAAUUGUAAUAAUUAUGUUGAAAAGUUAUAUAACAAGGAAGAAAGGGACUUCUUAUUCCCUGCCUGAGUGUCCUCAGUGGAGAAACAAGAACACUGAACUCUUUUUUUUUCUUUCUUUCCUUUUUUUUUUUUUUUCUUUUGGCCACCCCGCAUAUGGAGCUCGCAGGCCAGGGCUCAGGAUGCCUGCACUGCAUCUCCUAUUAACACGUUCAGAAACAAGACCUGGCCAAUUGAGCUUACUAUCCUAUGGUGAGCUUACAGAGGUCGAGUGAGCUCUUUCCUGGAAGAUGGAAUUCUACAUGACACAAGUCUUGUGGGACCUUGUUCAAGAGGCCAAUUUAUCAUCCGUUUUACAAGGAACAAAUGAUUUUCCAUUUAAAUUCACUGGAGGAAAACAUCCGACUCACUGAAGCAAAGCCACUUGGGCUUCCUUCUGGAUCAUCUUCAUAUUCUCUAUGAAAUAGAUCGAUUUGGUGACUGAGAAGGAAGUAAAAAUUAAAACACAGACUGCUGGUUUUUGGCCGUUGAAAGAGAGAAAGAUAUUAGUAAGGGGAAAAGACGUUCCCCCUAAAGAAUCUGGCUGAUUUUUUAUCAGCUUUUAUAAACUUUUUAAAAAAGAACUUAUAUGAACUUUUACAGUGUUUCCCCGCUAGAAAGGCCGGCCCUGCUCCCUGGCCUGAGCUCCUUACCCAUCACCCACUUGUUCUUGGGAGAACAACCAUGUGUCAGGCCCAGAAGGAUGUGUGUGCGGUGAUUCACAGAGACCCAUUCCUGCACGCCUGCACCAUCUACCACUUCUCUGUGUUUCUCACUCUCGUGGUAGCACAGACCCACGCCUCCCACACCCAUCCCACGUGACCCACCUGCACCAGUGACCUCUGGCUCUGCACUCCAUAUCCUGCCUGUCCUGCCCCUGAGCUGGCAUCUACCUGCUCAGUGGAAAACACGCCUCCCUCCUGGUACACCCCUACCUGCCACAGCUGCCCGCAAUAUCUCAGAAGAGUGGUCCUGCCCCCUCUCUAAGGUCAAGUGUUUCGUGACUUCACUGCAUUCCUACCCUCUUCACUUCCUCCAUCCUUAAUCUCUGUCUCGUCUUUUACUACAUUCCUCUUUGCCUCUUCACUGGGUGGUCCAUAUUCCCAUGGACAGUUUCCUUUUUUUU